UACGUAGGGUGCGAGCGUUAAUCGGAAUUACUGGGCGUAAAGCGUGCGCAGGCGGCUUUGCAAGACAGAUGUGAAAUCCCCGGGCUCAACCUGGGAACUGCAUUUGUGACUGCAAGGCUAGAGUACGGCAGAGGGGGAUGGAAUUCCGCGUGUAGCAGUGAAAUGCGUAGAUAUGCGGAGGAACACCAAUGGCGAAGGCAAUGCCCUGGGCCUGUACUGACGCUCAUGCACGAAAGCGUGGGGAGCAAACAGG
rnacentral:rRNA from 1 species